GACAGUUUGGCCGAGUGGUCUAAGGCGCUGGCUUCAGGCGUCAGCCCGCAAGGGCGUGGGUUCGAAUCCCACAACUGUUA
rfam:Perkinsus marinus ATCC 50983 gcontig_1104296770028, whole genome shotgun sequence.